rnacentral:rRNA from 1 species
UACGGAAGGCAGCAGUGGGGAAUAUUGCACAAUGGGCGCAAGCCUGAUGCAGCCAUGCCGCGUGUAUGAAGAAGGCCUUCGGGUUGUAAAGUACUUUCAGCGGGGAGGAAGGCGAUGCGGUUAAUAACCGCGUCGAUUGACGUUACCCGCAGAAGAAGCACCGGCUAACUCCGUGCCAGCAGCCGCGGUAAUACGGAGGGUGCAAGCGUUAAUCGGAAUUACUGGGCGUAAAGCGCACGCAGGCGGUCUGUUAAGUCAGAUGUGAAAUCCCCGGGCUUAACCUGGGAACUGCAUUUUGAAACUGGCAGGCUUGAGUCUUGUAGAGGGGGUAGAAUUCCAGGUGUAGCGGUGAAAUGCGUAGAGAUCUGGAGGAAUACCGGUGGCGAAGGCGGCCCCUGGGACAAAGACUGACGCUCAGGUGCGAAAGCGUGGGGAGCGAAACAGGAUUAGGAUACC